rnacentral:rRNA from 2 species
AUGACCUCGGAUCAGGUAGGGAUACCCGCUGAACUUAAGCAUAUCAAUAAGCGGAGGAAAA